GGGCGCGUGGCGGAACUGGCAGACGCGCUAGGUUCAGGUCCUAGUGAUGGCAACAUCGUGGAGGUUCGAAUCCUCUCGCGCCCACCA
rnacentral:tRNA from 1 species